AGUGAACGCUGGCGGUAGGCCUAACACAUGCAAGUCGAACGGCAGCACAGUAAGAGCUUGCUCUUACGGGUGGCGAGUGGCGGACGGGUGAGGAAUACAUCGGAAUCUACUUUUUCGUGGGGGAUAACGUAGGGAAACUUACGCUAAUACCGCAUACGACCUACGGGUGAAAGCAGGGGAUCUUCGGACCUUGCGCGAUUGAAUGAGCCGAUGUCGGAUUAGCUAGUUGGCGGGGUAAUGGCCCACCAAGGCGACGAUCCGUAGCUGGUCUGAGAGGAUGAUCAGCCACACUGGAACUGAGACACGGUCCAGACUCCUACGGGAGGCAGCAGUGGGGAAUAUUGGACAAUGGGCGCAAGCCUGAUCCAGCCAUACCGCGUGGGUGAAGAAGGCCUUCGGGUUGUAAAGCCCUUUUGUUGGGAAAGAAAAGCAGCGGGUUAAUACCCCGCUGUUCUGACGGUACCCAAAGAAUAAGCACCGGCUAACUUCGUG
rnacentral:rRNA from 1 species